UGUACUUGCCAGUAUGUCGCAUCAACAAGUUCGUAGAUAGAAGCUUCAGGACUUUAGCCAGGCAGCACACACAGGCGAGUUUCUCAGUGUGUGCUUUAUGUUACUCCCUCAAUAUUGCAUCCCCGAUACCGUAGCAGAAAUCUUCCUCAUGGAAGUGCUUGCUACAUACACAAGUUGUAGCCAAUGGCUGUUUGCCACUUCUAAGUUUUGUGAUCCAAGCUUCGGGCAGCUUCUUCUGCUGCGGGUGCUGUGAAGGCUGACACCUUGCUCUGUUGCGUACGUCCGGCACUGUGGCACAGAGCAGCAGCCUACCAUGCUGAACGCCUUCAAACACAGCCACUACCUAUUAUAGUCCUUUCAAUUUUUGUCAAGCAAUGCCUGAAGCAGGAAAACCUCCUCACUUAACCAGAACCGCAGCACAGGUGGGACUUUAAUGUUUCGUUUUCAGCUUGCUUUGGUUCUUCCAAAGCAGCCAACGCGGCUGCUGUGUUCACGUGAUCCCUCAUACUGCGUCAUGCCAAUGGUGGCGCCAGCUUUUCCAGUGAUGGAGCUCGCCCCCAGUACUGUACUAUUGGCAGGGUUCUGCCGUACUAGUGUGGGUUAAUUUUUCACAUCUUUAUUUGCAAGUCUGUACAACAAGACCAUGCAUAGGUUUCACUGUUGAUCGGCUAAUGAGAAGAUGGCGAAAAGGAGCGAGAAAACAUUCAGGCACCUCAAUAAUGUUUGCAGUCGCGCCGCAAUGUAAAGGCUGGUAGCUGAAAAUGCAAUUCCAGCUGAGAUGCGAUUCUUCGGAAGCCACACCAACUUUCCAGAGUGAAGAUUACUGUCAUACUGCCGACUUCAUACUGUCACCGACAGUAUGAUGUUGGUGACAGUAGCGGCGACACUGCUGAUGCUAUAACAGAUUGCAUCACACCGAUUUUUGAGCCGAGCAUAAUGUGAUCCCGCGCUCCCUAUCCAGAAUGUGAUGGUGCCGUGACUGGCGAAAGUUGCAGAGAGUCCCUACGGUGCUGAGUGGUAGACAGUUGUUUUAAUAGGAGGCCACUCACUGAACAGUUAGAAUUGUUAGAACAGCAUGAGGGCUUCUAGGGUCUUUCGCAUGAUGUGAAUUAGGGAGCGGCCUCCUUACAGCUUUCGCCAAAACCUGCAGCAACAAGUUUCCAAGUGUUGUCAUGAGUACAAACUAGCACAUUCAUACAUGCUGAGGCACCUAGAAAACCACCUGUCAUCCUUCUCACAUUGAAUGUGGAUGGGAUUCCACUGGCCAAAAGCUCUAAAAAGACAACUCUGUUCAAUUCAUUGUGCCAUUCAUUACUAGUGAGCUUGCACCAUUUGUAGUAGGGACAUACGCACAUCUCACGCAGCCAACUUUUGUGAAUGAAUUCCUGCUCCUAGGCACAUUCAACAACAUAGUGAAAAAUACUUUUGGGGAGAUGCUGUUUUAUGCCAAUGAGUGAAAACUGAUAAUUAACUGUGUAUUGCAUUUGAACCUGUUAUAUUAAUAAUUGUUGACCGUGUUCACAUGCCUCCAUCUGCCGGGUACUGCAACCUAAAGUACUGUAUUGUUUUACACUCUGCCCAAUUCCAGCUGCAGUGAGUUGGCUGCCGAAUGGAACGACUGCUACUGUUGAGGCAUGUCAUGGUUGUGGCAUGCACCCAAGUGUCUCACAGCAAGACUUGAAAAAGCCUCAUAAGCGGAGCUGUUUAUUACCAGAAAACUCAGCCCAGCUGUGCACCACCUCGUGUUGCCUAGCAACCACCUGCGAGAGCACCGAGCCACGUAAGCUUCUCGCAGCCCACGCGCGUAGGGCGGAGUCGUGCGUCACAGGCGAGUAAAAGCUGGGAACAGCCCGCGCCUCUUCUACUCCGUGCGUACGUGCUGCUGCUAUGGGAAGACCGAGGAAAGUCCGGACGCCCGAAGAAGCGGCUUACCAGGAAGAGCGCCGAGCUGAUCCGGAACACCGCGCCGUAGCUGCGGCUAGGAAGAGGCGACGCCGAGUCGAGGAUCCCGAGUUUCAGUCCAGGGAACGCGAGAGUCGGUGCCUGAACGCACGACGUCGCCGAGAAAGCGAUCCCGGCCUGCAACUGCUCGAAAACUUCCAGCGUCAAGCCCAGACACGGGGGAUAUGCAAACGGCCGCUUCCAGCGCGAAUUCCUGAGGCGUCGAGUUCGGGCACAGCUGCAGCGUCUCUGACCGGCUCUGGUUCGACGUGAGUCUCUACACGGUGAGCUCAGUGCGUAACUUUGAACAGAAUAGCUCUGCCAUGCAAGUGCUUCGCGAAGCCUUCCCCGACCAUGACGACGGUCGGACGUCGAGGACGAGGACCGGAUCGACGAUGACGACGACUGGUACUGAAGCACUGUACAUAAUAAAUUGUGAUGCACGUA